AUGAUACGGAAGGAGUCAAUUUCGCAAUUAACCAAUCUCCUCAGUGAAAAAUAAGGCAACAUGAUGACCAUUUACAUGCUUCCUAUCUGCUAUUCUUAACUGUGAUUUGUCGCAGUUAAGGAACGUAGGUCGCGUAUCCCUCCGCCACUGCUAUUUCUGCUACUUCCGUGAUUUCUGUGACCUGCUACUUCUGCGAUUUCUGUGACUCUUGCGAUUUCUGCGACUUACCACAGUAUGACAAAGUUACAUCUGUCCACACAGAAAAUUGCAUCUCAACAAACCUGUCAUUGUUACCCGAACUACGUUUCAGUCACUCAGUAAAUUGAUAACUCAACAGAUCUGGAGAAAUUACCACUUCGUCUUUAGACCGUUUUCGUCAGCCGAGAGACACAAUUCUGACUCUUGAUUACUGGUUGCUGUACGUAUCUAUCCACAUCAAGGCUGUUGAGAGAGACUCGUGAAGAUUCAAGACAGCUCUUAGAGGAUUUGCAGUUUAAAAGUGACAUGACUGUGAAAUAAGUGUGCAGAUGCCUGAUUAAACUGUGUUUUAUUGAAGUUGUUAUGCGAUUUUAAAGGAAUAAUAAAUGUUAA